rnacentral:misc_RNA from 1 species
AAGUCGUAACAAGGUUUCCGUAGGUGAACCUGCGGAAGGAUCAUUAAUGAAUUUUAGGGGGUUGAUGCUGGCCCAUGUGGCAUGUGCUCGCCCCUACAAAAAUUUAUCCAUACACCUGUGCACCUAAGGGGGAAAAGGCAAUGGAUUGGCUAUAGGAAAAAGUCCACUUGUGGGCUGGGAACUUUUGUCAAUGAAGUUGUCUCUUUCCCUCUGAUUUAUAAACACUAUCUCUGAUUGAUGAACGUGAUUGUGCCGCAAGGCCAUAAACUAUAUACAACUUUUAACAACGGAUCUCUUGGCUCUC